GGCGAACGCUGGCGGCGUGCUUAACACAUGCAAGUCGAACGGAAAGGCCUGCUUUCCCUUGUGGAUUGCGGGUGCUCGAGUGGCGAACGGGUGAGUAACACGUGAGUGAUCUGCCCCCAACUUGGGUAUAAGCCUGGGAAACUGGGUCUAAUUCCCGAUAGGACUGCAGGGUGGUGCCUGUGGUGGAAAACGAUUUUCUAGUGGUUGGGGAUGAGCUCGCGGCCCAUCAGCUUGUUGGUGGGGUAAUGGCCUACCAAGGCGGCGACGGGUAGCCGGCCUGGGAGGGUGGACGGCCACAUUGGGACUGAGAUACGGCCCAGACUCCUACGGGAGGAAGCAGUGGGGAAUAUUGCACAAUGGGCGGAAGCCUGAUGCAGCGACGCCGCGUGGGGGAUGACGGCCUUCGGGUUGUAAACUCCUUUCGACCGCGAGGAAGCCACCUGGUUGGAAGGGUGGUGACGGUAGUGGUAGAAGAAGCACCGGCUAACUACGUG
rnacentral:rRNA from 1 species